CACCGCGGUUAUACGAGAGGCUCAAGUUGAUAAACACCGGCGUAAAAUGUGGUUAACAUAUUAUUACACUAAAGCUAAACAUCUUCAAAGCUGUUAUACCCACACGAAGACAGGAAAACCUUCUACGAAAGUGGCUUUAAACUAAUGCUAACCCACGAAAACUAGGAAA
rnacentral:rRNA from 1 species